ACUCAAAGGAAUUGACGGGGGCCCGCACAAGCGGUGGAGCAUGUGGUUCAAUUCGACGCAACGCGCAGAACCUUACCUGGGUUGGAACCCCUCAGAAGUCUCCAGAGACGGAGAUGUGCCCGCAAGGGAACUGAGUGUCCAGGUGCUGCAUGGCUGUCGUCAGCUCGUGUCGUGAGAUGUUGGGUUAAGUCCCGCAACGAGCGCAACCCUUGUCGUUAGUUGCUAACAGUUAAGCUGAGCACUCUAACGAGACUGCCGGUGUUAAACCGGAGGAAGGUGGGGAUGACGUCAAGUCCUCAUGGCCCUUAUGCCCAGGGCUACACACGUGCUACAAUGGGCGGUACAAAGCGUAGCGACGCCGCGAGGCUUAGCCAAUCGCAAAAAACCGUCCUCAGUUCAGAUUGCAGUCUGCAACUCGACUGCAUGAAGUUGGAAUCGCUAGUAAUCCCUAAUCAGCAGGUAGGGGUGAAUACGUUCCCGGGCCUUGUACACACCGCCCGU
rnacentral:rRNA from 1 species